AGAGUUUGAUCCUGGCUCAGGAUGAACGCUGGCGGUCUGCUUAACACAUGCAAGUCGAACGGGACUCUUCGGAGUUCAGUGGCGGACGGGUGAGUAACGCGUGAGAAUCUGCCUUCAGGUCGGGGACAACCACUGGAAACGGUGGCUAAUACCCGAUGUGCGCAACGUGAAAGAUUUAUCGCCUGAAGAGGAGCUCGCGUCUGAUUAGCUAGUUGGUGGGGUAAAAGCUCACCAAGGCGACGAUCAGUAGCUGGUCUGAGAGGAUGAUCAGCCACACUGGGACUGAGACACGGCCCAGACUCCUACGGGAGACAGCAGUGGGGAAUUUUCCGCAAUGGGCGAAAGCCUGACGGAGCAAGACCGCGUGAGGGAGGAAGGCUCUUGGGUUGUAAACCUCUUUUCUCAGGGAAGAACAAAAUGACGGUACCUGAGGAAUCAGCCUCGGCUAACUCCGUGCCAGCAGCCGCGGUAAUACGGAGGAGGCAAGCGUUAUCCGGAAUUAUUGGGCGUAAAGCGUCCGCAGGUGGCACUUCAAGUCUGUCGUCAAAGACUGGGGCUUAACCCUGGAAAGGCGGUGGAAACUGAAGCGCUAGAGUGUGGUAGGGGUAGAGGGAAUUCCCGGUGUAGCGGUGAAAUGCGUAGAGAUCGGGAAGAACAUCGGUGGCGAAAGCGCUCUACUGGACCACAACUGACACUCAGGGACGAAAGCUAGGGGAGCGAAUGGGAUUAGAUACCCCCGUAGUCC
rnacentral:rRNA from 1 species